AUCUUUCCUAUUCCUUAAAACUACAGAGGAUCCAGAGGCAGGCAGGGUGGGGAGAGGGGAAGAAAUAGAGCAGAAGCCGUACUUCCACCCCAGGCUCCUCACUCAGGGUUCCUGGCUACAGCCUACUGACUGGGACUGUGUUCAGUUCCACCAACACUCUGCUCACAUUUGCCAACCCAUUUCCUCUGCUAGCAUCUGCAUUUCUUCUAGGGGCAGAAAUUGCUCAUCAUCCAGCAUCACAAUAUUAUGAUUCUGCUUUUAGAUAUCUUCUGCUGAGGAAGUAAUCAGAUCAUUGCCCAGCAUGCCUAUAAUACUGGAAGAAGGAUCUCACCUCCUGGAAUGCCUGGGAGGAUGAAGUGUACUAACUCUAGGAAAAUGCCUGGCCGGUGGAGUAAAUCUUUUUGGAGAUUCUUAGUGCAUUUGCUGUGGGUCAAUGUGUUUUUGUGGCUAAAUUAUAUGUGAGGAAAGUACAAUAUGGUUGGAGACCCUGGAAGAACUUCAAGAAAUUUUCAGGUUGCUGAAAAUUGAACAAAAUCAAGCAGUCACAGUGGACACCAGCCUUCCAGCCAACAAGGUGCCAGGGAUGUGGGUAAAGCUGUCUUGGACUCCAGAACAGCCCAUCCACCAAGUUGCCUCUGGGGAUGCCACGUGGAAUAAAAGAAUAAACUGCCACAACAUCAUGAGAAAAAAUGAAAUGAUUGUUAUUUUAAGCCACUCACUUUUGGAGUAGUUUGUUAAGAAGCAACCAAUAACUGAAAUAUUAGCACGGAGGAAAAACAUAUUUGGCCAUCUGAGCAGGUGCUGGGUGCUGCUCCUUUCUCUCCGCUCAGCUCACCACACUGUCUUCUCUGUGGCUUUCUGGGGCUCCCAGACAGGGGAAUGCAGCACCAGCACCUCCACCAAGCAAAACUUUGGGAAAAGCCUGGAAUGCCCAAAGUCCUCAGAGAAUGACUCUGGACUUCUGCUCUAGAAAAAAAAAAAUUGAUUACCUAACUUGACUUAAAAAAAAAAAGUAUUGACUUGAAUAGCUACUCCAAUUGAAAGAAGAAUCAGGUGAGGAAAUAAAAGUAUGAAGGAGAGUUACAAAAGAGAAUUGGAUUUUUUUUUAAAAGCUGCCUUGUAGUCCACAGGUUAUCAGUUUUUAUUUAAAAGCACCAGAAGCAGGAAAAUGAACAAGGGCUCUCCAUGCACCCAAGGGGAGUGGGUGAGAUUUUGCCACGGGUCUGUGCCUUAUAGUCAGAGGUUCUUUCUCCCUGGUGGUGGACUUGCUAUAGUGAUGGCUCCAGGAAGAGGCCCAGAAAUGGACAUUGUAAUGAUU